GGUAACUCGGCCGAGUGGUUUUUAAAGGCGGGAGAUUCGAAAUCUAUUGGAGUUUCUCCGCGUAGGUUCAAGUCCUGCUGUUGUCG